AACGAACGCUGGCGGCAGGCCUAACACAUGCAAGUCGAACGCCCCGCAAGGGGAGUGGCAGACGGGUGAGUAACACGUGGGAACGUGCCCAAAGGUACGGAACAACUCCGGGAAACUGGAGCUAAUACCGUAUGUGCCCGAAAGGGGAAAGAUUUAUCGCCUUUGGAUCGGCCCGCGUCUGAUUAGCUAGUUGGUGGGGUAAUGGCCCACCAAGGCGACGAUCAGUAGCUGGUCUGAGAGGAUGACCAGCCACACUGGGACUGAGACACGGCCCAGACUCCUACGGGAGGCAGCAGUGGGGAAUAUUGGACAAUGGGCGCAAGCCUGAUCCAGCCAUGCCGCGUGAGUGAUGAAGGCCUUAGGGUUGUAAAGCUCUUUCGCCAGGGACGAUAAUGACGGUACCUGGAUAAGAAGCCCCGGCUAACUUCGUGCCAGCAGCCGCCGUAAGAC
rnacentral:rRNA from 1 species